rnacentral:rRNA from 1 species
GUAGGCAGCGAGCGUUGUUCGGAAUUACUGGGCGUAAAGAGUGUGUAGGCGGUGCUCCCAGUCUGUUGUGAAAUCUCCCGGCUUAACUGGGAGGGUGCAGCGGAAACUAGAGUGCUAGAGGGUGGGAGAGGUAAGCGGAAUUCCUGGUGUAGCGGUGAAAUGCGUAGAUAUCAGGAGGAACACCUGUGGUGUAGACAGCUUACUGGACCACUUCUGACGCUGAGACACGAAAGCGUGGGUAGCAAACAGGAUUAGAUACCCUGGUAGUCCACGCCCUAAACGAUGCAUACUUGGUGUGAGCGAUUCAUUUCGUUCGUGCCGGAGCUAACGCGUUAAGUAUGCCGCCUGGGGAGUACGGUCGCAAGAUUA